AUGCAGUACGCAUCGUUGUGGCUCGCUUCUGGCGCCGCUGCAGUUUGCGGUUCUGUACGCAUGCAGUGCAGUAGGCGCAUCUCCAUGGCACUUCAGCCACGCCAUGAAAAUCCUCGCUGGAUCCGACGAACCACCACCGGAUUCGUGGAGAUCUUCCCGCCACGACGAGUUUCUACCCCCACAUCAGGCGCCUGGAUCAUGGCGCCCAUCCCACACCCCGGCAGACGUCCCCCCUGCAUCCCUCCCCGCGCACCCUGUGGUCUGCUUCGUCAAGCCACUGGUGCGCCAUGUGCGGCAUCGUGUAGUCCACUGUGUGGGUGCAUGCAGCACGCCCACCCCGCACCCCUGGCGCCGUGCAGUCCACCAAGUGCAAAAGCAGCUUCCUGCGACGCCAUGGAGCUCCCUUUGCUUAGCAAGGUCCAUGGGGAGAGUACCUUUAUGCAGGGGCAGUGCCAUGGAAGGCUUGAGCUCUUCCGCUCCUCAACAAGCAGCAGCAGCGUGACGUUGAGGUCUUCCCCUAUGGAAGGUCAUCGACGGAGCAGCAGGCCGAGCGAUGGUGGUGGCCGACUGAUGGUGACGGGAUGGAGGCUGCUACUGUGUUGUAUGCUCGGAGAUGCUCGCCAUGCGGUUCAGGGCUCGUGCACGUGCAUUCCAACGAGCGUCAUCUCUUCCCCUCUGGUCGGUCGACCAUGGCCGUGCAGCUCAGAGACGCUCGCCAUGUGGUUCGGAGCUCGUGCGCGUGCAGUCCAGCAAUUGCCAUCUCUUCCCCCCGCAGUUCGUCGACCAUGCCAUGCAACUCAAAUGCAGUUCUGCUGGUGUAUGUGUGUGGCUGUAAAACAAAGAAUGGAUGUAUGUGUGUAUAUGAGCAUCGACGAAGGAGCAAAACAAAAUGUGCGCGUGUAG
rnacentral:rRNA from 1 species